AGUGAAAAAUGAAAUCUGAUGAUGGAAACCAAAUAUUGAAAUGCAAUAAACAGAUAUUUCCUGUCUAUGCAAGAUAAAGGAAGGAGAGAGUCGAUUCUUUCAAGAAAGGAAUGGAUCUGUAUCAAAGGAAACAAGGAAAAUGGAAGUUAUACUAUAGACAGGCUGUCAGGCUGUAUUUAAACAAAAGACCUCCUGGGAUGAGGAGAAAAAGAAACAAGUAGAACCUGUAUUUCUUGUCGAGUGCUUGAUGAUGUCAUCAAAAUAUGAAAAUGAUUGGGAAGAUGACACAAUAUAUGAAAUCACAUCUCUAAAGUGGCGCUCUGACGAAUGUUUAAUUGGACACCAAAAGUUCUGCUCUGAAAUCCAAAUGUUCAAAAAGGCAAAGUAUAAGACGUAUAACGACCAACAAUGAAUCAUCUAGAGACAAACCAGGACAUAUAUCAAAUGAACAGAAAUGGGCCAUUUGAGAUUUUUGAAAGAGUUGCAACUGUCAUGUAUAAUUAGCUCACCUGAGCUGAAAGUUAUUAUAUGGUUUUACUGAUAUGCAAGCAUUUUGACAUAAACAUUCAAUUUGUUGAUUGUAUAAAAUUGUUAACUCCGUCCCAUGGACAAUUUUUGUUCCUCGCAAGAGGUUCAUAUUUUGAUGUAGGUUUAUUAUCCAUGUAUAAAGAGUUGUUUAACACUUCUUGAGAACUGCAAAGCUCAAUGUGUGAUAUGACUGUAAAAUCAUUGCAAAAUAGCUUGAUGUAUUGUUGUAGUAUGAUGAACCUAAAAAUAUGCUGGGUAUUUUUUUAAAUACAGGAUCUGAUAUUACUUGUUCAACUCAUACUGUUAUAUAAAAGAAUAUUCAUUGUGUAUUUUUUUAAUGUUGAUUUUUUUUUAUGCUGAUCAAUUACAGAUUAAAUUUGGCCAUUAUGAUUUUCAAUUUUUGUCAUAUUGGCAUGUAACCAAGUCAUACUUUUUUUUAUCUCAAUUUAUUUACAAAUAUGUUUAAGUUUAUUUCAAGUAAUUAGUGCAUACAUCUCUAUAGCAUAAUAGAACUGAAGACAAUAGGAAGUUAUUUAUUUUUAAAGGGAGCUCUGUUGGCAGUUAGUUGCAGAUCUUGAUACCCAAGUAAGAGAAAGGUGGCGUCUCUGACCGAUUCUUUUGCUCUUGCUUGUGGGCGAGUGAGGCUUCCCUGUCAAAGGCUUGUAUAAGUUUAAAAUCAUAGAUCAAAUUAUAAACUAAACACAUAUAUGAGUGAUAUA